rnacentral:rRNA from 1 species
GAUGAACGCUGGCGGCGUGCCUAAUACAUGCAAGUCGAGCGAACAGACGAGGAGCUUGCUCCUCUGACGUUAGCGGCGGACGGGUGAGUAACACGUGGAUAACCUACCUAUAAGACUGGGAUAACUUCGGGAAACCGGAGCUAAUACCGGAUAAUAUAUUGAACCGCAUGGUUCAAUAGUGAAAGACGGUUUUGCUGUCACUUAUAGAUGGAUCCGCGCCGCAUUAGCUAGUUGGUAAGGUAACGGCUUACCAAGGCAACGAUGCGUAGCCGACCUGAGGGGGUGAUCGGCCACCCUUGAACUGAGACACGGUCCAGACCCCUAAGGGAGGCAGCAGUAGGGAAUCUUCCGCAAUGGGCGAAAGCCUGACGGAGCAACGCCGCGUGAGUGAUGAAGGUCUUCGGAUCGUAAAACUCUGUUAGUAGGGAAGAACAAAUGUGUAAGUAACUAUGCACGUCUUGACGGUACCUAAUCAGAAAGCCACGGCUAACUACGUG